rnacentral:rRNA from 1 species
UAGCGUAUUCGUUUGACGUUAGCGACAGAAGAAGCACCGGCUAACUCCGUGCCAGCAGCCGCGGUAAUACGGAGGGUGCGAGCGUUAAUCGGAAUUACUGGGCGUAAAGCGCAUGCAGGUGGUUUGUUAAGUCAGAUGUGAAAAGCCCGGGCUCAAACCUCGGAAAUAGCAUUUGAAAACUGGCAGACUAGAGUACUGUAGAGGGGGUAGAAUUUCAGGUGUAGCGGUGAAAAUGCGUAGAGAUCUGAAGGAAUACCGGUGGCGAAGGCGGCCCCCUGGACAGAUACUGACACUCAGAUGCGAAAGCGUGGGGAGCAAACAGGAUUAGAUACCCUGGUAG